GGCAGCCCCGAGCCAAAGGGGCGGAAGGUCGCCGAGUGCUGGGAGGGGAGGUGGGGCAGCGACUGAGCGCCGCAGGAGCUGGCUGCAACCCAGACGCGGCCCAGGAGCGUCGGGAAUGGCAAUGUGGACCCCUGUGAUGGGACAUCUUGUGGGAUCUUACAGCCAGAUCUGUGGCAAAGGAGGAUGAAGGCUUAUGAGGACUCGUCAGGAAGCUGGAUAACAGAACGAGCGCAAUGUGCUAGAAUAGAAGACCAGAAAAUGAAAUGGUGGAGUUUGAGGCUGGAUAGACAGUUUGAAAGGGCUCCUGUGACAAGUGGACAUGCAGUGACUGUACCUUUUGUACCUUUGUUUCUGAGGUGCCUGGAUGGAGGCUCAAAUAGAAGAUGGUGUCAGAUAUAUUGUGUUGUCAAAAUUUUGCCAUUAAAGUGUAUUAUAACAUUAA
rnacentral:lncRNA from 1 species